UACGUAGGGUGCAAGCGUUAAUCGGAAUUACUGGGCGUAAAGCGUGCGCAGGCGGCUUUGCAAGACAGAUGUGAAAUCCCCGGGCUUAACCUGGGAACUGCGCUUGUGACUGCACGGCUAGAGUACGGCAGAGGGGGGUGGAAUUCCACGUGUAGCAGUGAAAUGCGUAGAGAUGUGGAGGAACACCGAUGGCGAAGGCAGCCCCCUGGGCCGAUACUGACGCUCAUGCACGAAAGCGUGGGGAGCAAACAGG
rnacentral:rRNA from 1 species